UUCACUAUGUUUAUUUAUUUAUUUAUUUAUUUUCCAAUUCUUGAGAAGGAAGCCCUAAAUCUUUUCAAUCCCCUGCUCAUUCCCUCACCAAAUAUCAGCUAAAUCGUAAAUUGCAGUUGUUCUUCUUUGUGAAGACUUUGCGAUAAACUAAAUAAAUAAAGAAGCUAAAAAAUAAAAAAAAUAAAAAAAUAAAAAAUAAAAAAAAAAGAAAGAAAAAAGAAAAGCUGAGCCCGUUGUAGAGUACACUUCCAUAGUAGAGAAACGUUUCCAAGGAAGAAUCUCCUUUAUAAUUUCUAGGUUCCAGCACACAAACGAAACACAUUUUUAUUAUUUUAUUUUAAGAAAACAGUGUUACCAAAAGUAACAAAAACAUAAACAAAGUGCAAAUGAAGUGCUGAGUCUUUGAGAGACGAAGGAAGGAAGUGCGAUUCGCAUGUUGUUCGUUUACCUUCUGGAUCUUGUUCGACAGCACUCCCAACAACGUUGUUGUUUUGGAUGAUAUAGAUGUGCUGUCGAACAUGAUCCAGAAGGUGCUGUCGAACAACAUACAAAAAGGGGUCUACUGUACGUCCGGCCCAUCAUGAUCUUCUUCUUCUUCUUCUUCUUCUUCUUCUUCCUGAAAGAGUAUCAAACAUGGGGUUUCUGUUUGUUUCUUCUUCUUUUUCUUUUUACAAGUAGAUUUACAUGUUUACUAUAUCGCUUUAGGGUCUAGCAAAGAUUCUACUUGUUGGUUUUGUUUAUUUAAUUACCUGCUUUAAUUUUCGCAUGCAAAAAUUAUUACUUUUAAUUCACAGAUAGCCUCAUCAUUUUCCUUUAUCUUACCUAGUGUUUAUUUUUUUCUUUUAAUCUUUGUCUAAACACUAAAUAUAUUUGUUUAAGUGAAUAAAGACCACAAAAAAAUGAUUUUUAUUUUUUAUUUUUUAUUUUUUUGGGUGGACAUAUAUUAAAUUGGGGAUGAGGGAAUUUUCUACACGCAGGGUAGAUUGGGUCAAUUCCAGAGAUCAUUGCCGUCUAUUUGUUUGUAAAGGAGCAUGUUUAUGUGUGUAAAUAUGUAAGUAUUGUCUGUAUACAUAUUUUGCUACACGUUUGUGAAUUUGGUUAAGUGCCUUGGAGCCUGAAUUCUUUGGAUGGAAAGAUCGUAUUUUGUGGAUGUGUGUGUGUGUGUGGUGUUUAAGGUGUCAAAGAUGGCUUUUCUCUUUUGAUUUCCCGAUUUCUUUUGCUGUUAUAUCGCUGACUGGAAUGAGUUGAGACAGUAAAGAAACUCCUCUUUGUAGAUGUUGUCUCUGUCCAUCAGAAGCAAAAUAAAAAAUAUAAUUUGAGUAUCUCACAUAUCCAUCUCUUAAACAUAUGCAUGUUAGUUUCUGGAGGUGUAUACCUCCAAAUAGUAUUGUAUGGUAAGUGGAUUAGUAGAAAACUCUCUAGCACUGGUAUCCUGUACUUGUUGAUUAUGGAAUCCUAGCAUCUUUUACUUCUUAAGUUUUGUACCUGCAAAAAAGGGAAACACAAAUGAAGAAGAAAGGUGAGAUGUGACACAUAAAUUGUGAUGGGUCUUUUUGUGUUGAUGCUAACCAUGGUUCUUUAGGAAUCCUCAUUAGGGAUGGUAGAGGCAUAGUCGUGGAAGCACAAGCAAUUUUCAUGUGGUUGGAGAGGUGUGGUUGUUAACAAAGCUCAGCUAUAACAACUAAAGCCUAUGUAAUUUUUUAUGGGGUUCUCAUGGCUGGCAGAUUAGGCAUUAUCCGAUAACUUCAUUGAAUCAGAUAACCGAAUACUAGCAUGUGCUAAAAAAGGUUUGCCAGCUCCAUGUUUGUGGAAGGUGCAGACCAUUGUUUCAGAUAUGCAAAUUGUACUUGCUUUUCUCCAUUGUUGCUGAUUUGGAUUGCUGAGAAGUCUUUACGGGGUCUCCUUCCUUUAGCGACUUGGUGCCAGUUCAAUCGCUGGAAUAUAAGUUUGUAUCUAGGACAAGUCCAUUUCCAUUAUUUUAUUAGAGUCCUGGAAUUCUGUCUCAUUUGGUCGCUUUGCUCUUGCUCUUAUUGUAAGUUCAGAGUCGGAUUCCAGUCUUCCCUGUUGGAUAUCCGACUGACAUCCACAAGCAGAGACAAAGGAAGUGAUUCUCACAAGUACCUGAAAUUUCAUUUGCCUCUGCCCUCCUUACCUUUCUCUAGUUAGGAUUAAUCUCAACUGAUUAGGAUGGGAGUGAUGUUGAAGGAACUGCGGAUCAGGAGGGUGCUGUCAGGGACGAUCAUCCGGAACCGGAGGGAACAAAUUGGUCCCGUCAUGGGUCACAUUUCCCAACCUGAUGGCUGUCGUCACCAAAUUCUUCUGUUCCAUUUCAGGUGUUUAAUGAUGGGAUCAAAUCCAAAGUGUAAGAUGGAAGAGGUGAAUAAAAUCUUCUGGAGGUUGGUGUGGAACAGCAUCCUGAGGGAGGGCAGCUACAUAGGAGGCACCAACAUCACGAUUUCUUUCUUCUCCUCAAUUUAUUCAUUUGACGACUGUUAAAUAUGGGUAUACAUGUUAGCUAUAUAUGUCGGUCAUAGGAUUAAUCCAAGGAUUCUCACAUGUGGGUUUUGUUCAUUUAAUCGUGUGCUUUGAUUUUUGCACUCAUUUUCGUUUAUCUAAUAAAGUGUCCUGUUUUAUCAGUCUGUGGGUAUUCGUAUAUUUAUAUGGGAUUUAUGCUGCUUUGAAAAUGUGAUUAUUUGUCUGUUUUUACAAAUUUGAUUGGAAUUUCAUUUUGAAAGGAUUUAUGUCUAGUUAUCAAAAUUUUAUAACAAAAAACAUCAAAAAAAAUUUCCUCCUCUUUGGACUGACAGAUUUUCUUUGUGCAUUGAACAUUGUAAGCAAUGUUGGAGUAACUGAAAUAGAAUUUAAAUUGAUUUCUUAUGAAUCUUUAUGAGGUCAGAGAUGGUAUGAUAAUGGCAUGAAACCCAUGAGAACCUAUAAAAUCACGAAUUCAUGUAUUUCACAGCUUGGGAAGCUUUGGUCCAACCCUUCAAUGAUCCGUCAAUUUACCAGUUCUACUUUGUAAUCACCGGAGCUGUAAAACAAUCUGGAGGGUGCUCUGGAACAUGACCUGGAUGGUGUUGUCGAAUAAGAUCCAGAGGGAGGAUCUGGAGCCUGGGGAUCACAUCUGCACAUGGAGGCACAUCUAUAGUUAUGCCCAUCAUGGCGAGCUUCUUCUUCUCCUCCAUUUUUUCUUCUAAAGAGUAUUUAACAUGAGUUCCUAUUUUUUGUUUCUGGGUCUUUUCUUACGAGAGUAGAUUUUCACUUUAACUGUAUUGAUUAUGAGGAUUUAAGACGGAUUCUAAUGUAUGGUUGUUGUUUAUUUAAUUGUUUGCUUUGAUUUUGACACCUGAACAUUGGUACUUGAAUUUAUAACUUCAUCAUUUCCUU